ACAGUUGCGACCUUUCCAACGUGCAGAGAGCCACAGACACAGGUGUCAGGAACUAAUGAUGUCCUACGCCCGGGGACUGCGUGUUUUCUUCCUCACCACCACCACCACCAUCCCCCCGUCUCCCAAGCCCGAAGCUCGGCAUCGCCUUCGACUGGCCUCCCUCUUCCGACCGGCGUAUUCGGUCUGUCACCAGAUCCUAUAGGUUCUCCCUUCACAGCAUCUCUCCGUCACGGCCGCCUCCUCUCCAUCCAACUGCUACCUCGCCGAUCCCCGACGCCGCCCCGACCGUAUCGGCCUCCUCGCUGCCUCUCCCCGCUCCGGCCCGUACUUCGCUCUGCUGCCCGGAUCGUUUCUCUUACAGAUGGUUCGGUUCACGUCCCCCAGCUCCUCAAGGACCGUCAGGGGUCGACCAUCCGUCUCUGCAUCGGACAGAGAUUCUUCACUGUUGGAUUUAAGGCACUCGAUGGACGAUCCCUCGCCUACUUAGCCUUGCUCAUCUCCUACUCCAACCCAGCCCACGCAUUUCGCUCCGCUAACGCCGACCUAUUCACUGUGCCUCGAUCUCCUCUUUCUCACCGUCGCCCACUUGCUCCUGUCCUCCCCACCUUAUUUGACUCCCUACUGCAUCACGUAUACAUUCAAGCCCAUCCACAGGUACUCACCGUCCCCCUCCCCCACAGCACCUGUGUACGUGCCUUGAUUGAUUGGUAUUUAAGCGCUAACCGUGUGCUAGUCACUGGGCUAGAUACUAAAUAACGGGGUCAGAUACAGUUCCUUCUCUUACCUGUUAUUUAUUUCAAUAUCUAGCUCUCCCACUAGAUUGUAAACUCCUCGAGGUCAGGGAUCUAUUGUGUCAGCCUUCCCUCCGAUCUCCCUCCCUCCCGGCUCUCCCCGCUCCGGUCUGUUCUUCACUCCGCCGCCCGGAUCAUCUUCCUGCAGAAACGCUCUGGGCCUGUCACUCCCCUCCUUAAAACCUCCGGUGGUCGCCCGUCGACCUCCGCACGAAACAAAAACUUCUCACUCUGGGCUUCGAGGCUCUCCGUCACCUCGUCCCCUCCUAUCUCACCUCCCUUCUCUCCUUCUACUGCCUACCCCACGUGCUCCGCUCCUCCGCCGCUCACCUCCUCGCCGUCCCCCGUUCGCGCCCGUCCCGCCGUCGACCCCCGGCCCGCGUCCUUCCGCCGUCCCGGAACGCCCUCCCUCCUCACCCCCGCCAAACUCACUCUCGUCCCCUCUUCAAAGCCCUACUGAGAGCUCACCUCCUCCGAGAGACCUUCCCCCUUUCCCUCUGCUCCCUCUCUGCUCCCCCUCCGCCCUCCGCCCCCUCCCCCUUCCCCCCCCUUCACCGCCCCUCAGUUAAGCCCCCUUUCCCUCUGCUCCUCCCCCCUCCCUUUCUCUCAGCACCGUGCUCAUUCGUAUCUAUUUUUAUCACCCUAUUUAUUUUGUUAAUGAGGUGUACGUCCCCUUGAUUCUAUUUAUCAUGAUUAUAUGGUCUUGUUUUUCUCCGUCCGUCUCCCCCGAUUAGACCGUGAGCCCGUCAUUGGGCAGGGAUUGUCUCUAUCUGUUGCCGCGUUGUACGUUCCAAGCGCUUAGUACAGUGCUCUGCACAUAGUAAGCGCUCGAUGAAUACUACUGAAUGAAUAUUACUAAUCAUCUUGGCGCUUAGUACAGUUCCUGGCACAUAGUAAGCGCCUAACAAAUACCAUAUAAAAACAAAUUCUCAGAGACGGGGGCCAGUGAGGCCGGGAGACCAGCCCAAACAGCCCCCAGCAGGAAACCCCUUGGGACCGAUGGCUCCCAUCGUCUCUAAGAAGUUAAACCCCCUCCCUUAGGAAGGCAGGGCAAGCACCGGCUAGAGGAGAGAGAGAACCCGGGCCUGGGAGUCAGAGGUCGUGGGUUCUAAUCCCGGCCCUGCCACGCGUCUGCUGUGUGACCCUGGGCGAGUGGCUUCGCUUCUCUGGGCCUCCGUUGCCUCAUCUGGAAGAUGGGGAUUUAAGACUGUGAGCCCCACGUGGGACAGGGACCGUGUCCGACCCGGAUCACUUCGCGUCUGCCCCAGCGCCCAGAACAGUGCUUGGCACGUAGUAAGCGCUUAAGAAACACCACGAUUAUUGCUGUCAUUAUUAAGGAGCCGGCCUUUAACGUCCCUCCCUCGGACCGUAAGCUCGUUUCGUGUCCACCAACUCUGUUAUAUCGUUGUAUUGGACUCCCCCAGGAGCUCGUCUCAGGGCUCCGCACACAGUAAGCACUCGCUAAACCCCACCGGUGGAUGGAUUGAUUGAUCGGUCGACCGUUCAACCGGAAAGGAUGAUUGAGCGGUAGCGUUGGCGGUUGUGACUUUGGAGACCGUGAAAUUACCCGUCUUGGAUUCGACGUCGACGUUCAAGGGAACGCGGUAAUCCGCUGAUGUUUUCCAGCGGGAGGCCUCCUCCGUCAAGGUGACAGCCUCCUCUUGGAUGAAUUAUUCUUUCUGUAUUUAGAACGCAUACAAUUGUUUUUAGUGAUUUAUCCUUCCGGACCAAUCUCGUUAGUAAACCUCAAUUAGGAAAUGAACCAGGUUCAUGUGCAGAAUUAAAGGAGGGUAAAUGUUGAAGAGUUAGGUGCUUGGAGAUGGCUAUUAAUCUUCUCCGGCCUCCUGGACGCCAUUUAGUGCCCUGCAGUAGAAAUGUCUUCUAUCUUUCAAUUCCUUCUGGUUUUCUGUGCGGUUCUCCUGUUGGAGUCACCCAAGCAUCUAGUCCGGCGCUCCGCACACGGUAAGUGCUCACUGAUGAUAAUCGGGGUAUUUGUCAGGAGCUUACUGUGAGCCAGGCACUGUGCUAAACUCUCGGAUAGAUACAAGCUAAUCAGGUUGGACAGAGCGCGUGUCCCACGUGGGGCUCGCGGUCUUAAUCGCCGUUUUGCAGGCAAGGGAGCUGAAGCCCGGAGAAGUGAAGCGACUCGCCCAAGGUCACACAGCAGACGAGUGGCAGAGCCGGGAUUAGAACCCAGGUCCUCUCGCUCCCGGGCCCCUGCACGGUCCACUAGGCCACGCUACCUAAGAUGGGUUGACUGAUUGAUUCCGGGUGCCGUAUCUCAAGGAUAGAAUAGCGGAGCCCAAGCAGAAUUGACCGUAAGCUCUUCCUUCUAGCCUGGAAGCUCCUUGUGGGAAGGGGAUGUGUCUACGAACCCUGAUGUACUGGGGGUCGGUCCAGUGCUCUGCGCGUAGUACACGCUCAAUAAAUAGCAUCGGUCGAUCGACGGAUUGAAGGAGGGAUUCUGGGGAAGACCGAUUGUCCCACUCUUGGCCCGUUAGCCUACACAGAGUGUCCGCACUCAGCUUGGAGGUUGGGGGCGAGGGAGGUGAGAUUCGAGGGGUGAGUCGGGAUACAAAGGGGACUCGGACCCAAAUCCACUUAGCACCUAGCAGUUAGGGAAGGAUGGUCAUAAUAAUCGUUGCGGUAUUUGUUGAGCGCUUACUAUGUGCCAGCCACUGUACUAAGCGCUGGGGUGGCACAAGCAAAUCGGAUUGGACGCGGCCCCCGUCCCGCCUGGGGCUCACGGUCUCAAUCCCCAUUUGACGGACGAGGUAACCGAGGCCCAGAGAAGUGAAGGAACUUGCCCAAGGUCACACGGCAGACGAGGGGCGGGGCCGGGAUGAGAACCCACGACCUUCUGACUCCCGGGCCCGGGCUCUCUCCACGAGGCCGUGCUGCUUCCCAUCGUUUCUCUGCGCCUCAGUUUCCUCAACUGGGAAACGGGGAUUGAAUCCCUCUAUGCUCCCGCCUACUUGGACCGUGAGCCCUAAUUGCCCCGUGGCUACCCUAGUGCUCGGGACGGCGUUGGACGCAUAGUAAGCGCUCAACAAAUACCCUAAAGUAAAAUUUGCUCCGCCUCAAUUCUAAGGAAUCUGGAGACACAGAGCUCCUGUUAAAGUUUAAAAGGUCAGCCAACUGAAAAGAAAAUGCAGGAAGCGCUAUUUAUAGCCUGUUACAUUUCCAUCUUGCUGUGCUGGGGUCACUCAUUCUUAAAACGCCUCCCGAGAAACAGAAAUGAAAGAACGCAGCCUAAUCGGGGAUGCUAAAGGGAAUCCUGCAGCGGGAAAGCGAAGCUUAGAGGAAAGAUGAACGAAGAAAUGCCGAAGCGGGACUACGUUUUAUUUACAGAAGAGUUACCGAGAAGUUUACCGGUGACCGCGUGGAAAAGAAGCAGGCCCGUAACAGGGUUUCUGGCCUGCUCCUCUCCUGACCGACAAGCUUCCCUCAUGUCAAGAAGCAGCAUUAUUUUUCCAUGUCGUGGCUGGCCAUUCCCUUUUCAGAAGGCAGCCAAAAGAACACUUAGGAAAAUCCUGUUAAUGGGGCCCAACCUGAAGAAAACAAGUCGCCAGAGAACCAUAUAUGUCAAAGUUGAAGUGGCCAGCAGGCAAUUCACUGCGUCUCCCUAAGAGUUAGGCUAAUUUGCACCGUUUCAACGUUUUCCCUAUAAGGGCCUCAGAGUCCUUUCCGCCUUAUUAGCCAAUUUGUCCUCGGCUCACCCCUCAAGAGACGUUCGCUGAGAUGAACUCUGUUCGUCGGUGGAGAAACGAAGCGGGGCCGGGUUGAAUGAGUUAAGUGAAUAUCCGCGAUGCCCUACUCGCCGCCGCCCUUUCUUCGGCACCCUUCGGGACCCAACGGCUGAACGAACGGUCGCGUGUGCAGGAGUGUAUGUGAAUAAUAUCUAAAUAAAUAAGAACGUGCAGAAGGAUGGGCUUCAAACGCGUAAGUGCCAAGGGUUGGGUUUGCCAGACGGGGAUGUGGCGAUUCAUUGGGGAGGACUUCCCGGAGGAGGUGGCUUUCGGGGAGGGAUUUGAGGAUGGGGCGGGCUGGGAUCUGGUGGGUUUUUGUGGGACAGGGCGUUCCGGGCCGGGGGGGGCCGCGUGAUUGAGGAGUGAGAGGCGGCCUUUGGACGGGGAUAGUCUCUGUUGCCGAAUCGUCCAUUCCAAGCGCUUAGUACGGUGCUCUGCACAUAGCAAGCACUCAAUAAAUACGACCGAAUGAAUGAAAGUCAAGAGAAACAGCCCGGCUUCGGGAAAACGGUUCUCAUUCCGGCUCUGCCGUUUGCCCGCUGUGCGACUCUGGGAAAGUCCUUUAACUUCUCUGGGCGUCAGUUUCCUCAUCUGUAAAAUGGGGAUUCAAUACCUGUAAUCUCUCCCCUUCAUACUGCGAGCCCCAUGUGUUCAACCUGAGAAACCUGCCUCUGUCCCUGCACUAGGUACAAUCCUUGGCACAUAGUAAGCGCUUCACGACUACUACAGUUAUUAUUCGGAGCGAGGUGAUCAUCAUCGUCACCAUCAUCGUAACUGUGGAAUUUGUCAGGCACUUACUGCGUGCCAGGCACCGUACGAAGGACUGGGGUAGAUAUAAGGUAAUCGGAUU
rnacentral:lncRNA from 1 species